ACUCACAAAACAUAAUUUUGGUGCUGAGCUCCUCCAGUUGAGAAAUUCAAAUAAAAAAGACAUCCUUGCUUUAUAUGAGAAAUGUGUUCUCCAGAAGUCCAAAGAGUUUUGUAAUUGACUUGUAUAGGAGGGUGCUUGUAAUCUACUGGAAGUUUAGUUAAUAGAACAGUGUGCGCCGAGAGGUUGUGUAAGUUCUUGGGAAAUGGUGUUGAUGUUAAAGGUUGUAUUUUCUUAUUUUUAUUUUUUUUUUCAGUAACAGCGAGGUGAGAAGGUUUUUUAGUUUUAAGUUUAUUUAAUUUCUACUUUUAUAAAUCACCUGUAAGAAUAUUGGUUUUUGCUUAUGGCAGAGUUAAUUUUGUGUGGCGUUUCUGGUUUGCUGGACAAAUUCCCUGCUUUCUUUUGUGGAAAAUGGCACAAAUUCUACUUGAGUAUGGUAAAGUUUCAAUUGGAA
rnacentral:misc_RNA from 1 species